rnacentral:tRNA from 1 species
GCUAGCUCAGUCAAUAGAGCACGAGACUCUCAGUUUCAGGGUUGUGGGUUCGAGCCCCAUGUGGGGCA